UACGGAGGGUGCGAGCGUUGUCCGGAUUUAUUGGGUUUAAAGGGUGCGUAGGUGGCUUGUUAAGUCAGUGGUGAAAUACAGCCGCUCAACGGUUGAGGUGCCAUUGAUACUGACAAGCUUGAAACAAGUGGAGGUUGCCGGAAUGGAUGGUGUAGCGGUGAAAUGCAUAGAUAUCAUCCAGAACACCGAUUGCGAAGGCAGGUGACUACGUUUUGAUUUGACACUGAGGCACGAAAGCAUGGGGAGCAAACAGG
rnacentral:rRNA from 1 species